ACCUACGGGGGGCAGCAGUAGGGGAUAUUGGUAAUCUGCGAAAGCGGGAACCAGCAACGCCGCGUGUGCGAUGAAGGCCUUCGGGUUGUAAAGCACUUUUGACCGGGACGAGGAAGGACGGUACCGGCCGAAUAAGCCUCGGCUAACUACGUGCCAGCAGCCGCGGUAAAACGUAGGAGGCGAGCGUUAUCCGGAUUUACUGGGUGUAAAGCGCAUGCAGGCGGUUCUGUAAGUUCGGUGUGAAAGCUCCUGGCUCAACUGGGAGAGGUCGCUGAAGACUGCAGGACUGGAGCGUGGUAGGGGAAGGCGGAAUUCCGGGUGUAGUGGUGAAAUGCGUAGAUAUCCGGAGGAACACCAGUGGCGAAGGCGGCCUUCUGGACCACGACUGACGCUCAGAUGCGAAAGCUAGGGUAGCAAACGGGAUUAGAUACCCUCGUA
rnacentral:rRNA from 1 species